rnacentral:rRNA from 1 species
AGCAGCCGCGGUAAUUCCAGCUCCAAUAGCGUAUAUUAAAGUUGUUGCAGUUAAAAAGCUCGUAGUUGAAUUUCGGGGUUAGUAGGUUGGUCAUGCCUCUGGUAUGUACUGGUCUCACUGAUUCCUCCUUCCUGAUGAACUACUG